UACAGAGGUCUCAACCGUUGUUCGGAUUCAUUGGGCGUAAAGGGUGCGUAGGCGGCGGGGUAAGUCAGGUGUGAAAUCUCGGGGCUCAACCCCGAAACUGCACUUGAUACUGCCUCGCUUGAGUACUGGAGAGGAGACUGGAAUUUACGGUGUAGCAGUGAAAUGCGUAGAUAUCGGAAGGAAGACCAGUGGCGAAGGCGAGUCUCUGGACAGUUACUGACGCUGAGGAACGAAAGCUAGGGGAGCAAACAGG
rnacentral:rRNA from 1 species